rnacentral:rRNA from 1 species
AGCGAACGCUGGCGGCAGGCUUAACACAUGCAAGUCGAACGUCCCGCAAGGGGAGUGGCAGACGGGUGAGUAACACGUGGGAACGUACCCUUUGGUUCGGAAUAACUUGGGGAAACUCAAGCUAAUACCGGAUAAGCCCUUAUGGGGAAAGGUUUACUGCCGAAGGAUCGGCCCGCGUCUGAUUAGCUAGUUGGUGAGGUAAUGGCUCACCAAGGCGACGAUCAGUAGCUGGUCUGAGAGGAUGAUCAGCCACACUGGGACUGGGACACGGCCCAGACUCCUACGGGAGGCAGCAGUGGGGAAUAUUGGACAAUGGGGGCAACCCUGAUCCAGCCAUGCCGCGUGAGUGAUGAAGGCCUUAGGGUUGUAAAGCUCUUUUACCCGGGACGAUAAUGACUGUACCGGGAGAAUAAGCCCCGGCUAACUUCGUGCCAGCAGCCGCAGUAA